rnacentral:ribozyme from 1 species
UUUAGCUAUACUUCAACAAAAAAGGGAUAAAGCGUCCUCAAAGUUCUUAAGAUAUUAUUAUCUAAACAAUUAAUAAAACUACCAAAGGCUGAGAAACGUGUGCCACCAAAUAUUCAAACUUGGGAACACGGGCUUGACCCAACCCCUUGGGCGGAUGGUGGCAUAUGGCGAACCAGGAGGGG